rnacentral:lncRNA from 1 species
CUCCUCCUGGCUUUGACCCCUGGACUGUCUGACCAUGAUUUGCAUCAUUCUUCUAUCCAGGUGCUGUUUGGAUUCAAACCCCCAGCUGGUUGGUUUCUGCUUGAGCUGUGGGGUUGGUUCUACCUUGUUCCUGUGAUCUUGCUCUGGACUGGGUCCUGGUGCCUCUUCUACUGAACCUUGACAGCCUUACUUUUAAAAAUAAGUUCCUUAUAAUCUUGCACUCCUAAAUAGUUAUUCAUUUAUGGAUCCAAGGUCAUCUUCUGUUACUACUUUCAAAUUGUGGCAUAUGCAAUCUAAAUGGAAGGAGGUGAAAAUAUGGCAUUCUGCAUGCAUGUGGUUGCCAGGUUUAAGGGCACCAAUUCAAGUCUCAAAGAACUGCUGUGCUUGGGUCUUUAGGCCAGAAGACAGACAUGUCUCCAGGUAAGCAGUGCUGAAGGAGCAGAAUGUGAGAUUUUUGAAUUUGAGAUCAUUUUAAAGCCUAGAUGACUAACUUAAUUCAUUCCUAGAUGGCUCAAUGGAUCAUGGUAAAGGUGCUUAUAUGUGUGUUUUGCUUGUUCAGCGUUAACACUCCAGAGAUGGAAGUCAUGAUGUGAGAAGUCCAAGGAGACAGUUGGUGUGCACGAAUCUUCAGAGUCAUGGCUUCUUGAAUAAGCACCGGCAACAGCAAAACAGGGCCGAGAAAAAAAAAAAUAUGUGGCCUCAUGGUGAGCGUUCCCCAAGUCCACACAUUGGUGUCGGGCUUGGAAAAAAUCCCCAUGAUUCACGUGUUCUGUAUGUAGGUAAGGCUGUACAAAUAUGUCAGCCCAAAUAGGAAUGCCAGAAACUGUCACAGCUGUUGGAUACCGUUUCACAUCUGCAGAAGAAACCAGUUUGUUUGUUUGUUCCUGGAGCUGAGGUCUAAAGCCAUUUUUUGUUCCUGGAUACCUGUCAUGCCCAUCUCCACAAUCAGCUUGCCAGAAUUAGUUUUGGCCUGACCGUUUCCUGACCCACCCCUCUGACAUCAGACGGGCUUGCCUUCUGGUCUCAAGUUUUUGCCCCUGAAUCUCAGAGAAUGGAAUGCUGAUGAUCUGCCAAUUCUAGGCAGGAAAUAUCAAAAUGUUACAAGAUUCGUUCAUUCAUUUCUAAUUCCCCAAUUAUGUUAGUUAUAAGCAUAAUCGGAGAAUUAGAACUCUUGUUUGAUAGAAGUUAUAAGCAUAAUUGGAGAAUUAGAACUCUUGUUUGAUAGAAGUGUAUACCAAUGAACAGCAGUCUCUUAUUUGCUUGUAGUAAGGAUUUUAGGAUUUCUUUUGAUAUGUUUUUUAACAAUUCAGAACAAACCCUUCUAUUUCUGGGAUUUUUUUUUCUUAUUUAAUUGUCAGCAAACAAUUGUGACUUGUAUCAAAUUUAUGGUCAAUUACCCAAAGCAACUCUUUGACUUAAUUUAG